CGCUUACCUGAACAGUCCAUUCAACUCGGCGAACAUAAGAUUGGUUUAUAGAUUAUUGCAAGAACAAAAGUUGGGAUACGGUUGACAAUGGCGAGUGAUCAGCCGUCUAAGUCCUUCAGCGACCAAGAUCCAGACAGUGUCUUCACGAAAACAAAGCAGAUGUUGUUAA